rnacentral:lncRNA from 10 species
AACGGUGUGUGGUCCUGGCAGGAGGGUGACCGAGGUGGUGGGACUGGCAAGUGGGAUGUGCUUGUGAGGCUGAGGACUUGGUUGUGAUCAUCAGCCUUAGGGCACUGAGACCCCAGAAGCCUGAGCAAGGUCUGCAGUCAGCCCUGCCCCCGCCUUCAGUCAGGCUGGAUGGAGGCCAGGGAGCCUGGGUUCCUCCCAGCCUUGCCCCUCCCUCCCUCCUGCUGAACUCUUCCUACCCGGGCUCUGAACACAUCCCUGAGCUGCAGAGCUGACGUCUGGGUGACAGUGAAACGGGGUAUUCAUUUGUACCAAAACAAACAAACAAACAAACAAAACCUGGAAUGACGGUGUGUGGAUUUCUUGUGUGCUUAUUCGUAGGAUUGAGAAAGGGUGAGGCUAAGGUCCCGAGCCUUCGUGAAGCAAUGGAGAAAGUGCCGUCCCAAGGCUCAGUUCCACACGGCGCUGUGAGGCUGAAGGGGCUCACUGGAAGUUCCCCUCACAGGACGCCACCUCACCUGAAACCCUCUUUUUCUGCUACCAUCCAAGGGACAAGAUCUCCUGAGUUGUCGAAGACUCACUCCGGAAGAAAACCCUCUCAGGCAGUUACUGAGGGACUGUGGUCUGGACUAGAACGUGUUUUUCUCAGUGACACCUCUAGAGGGCAGCACUCAACGGAGUCCCACAGACACCUCCCUGCAUUUCCUCCUCAGACACUGGGUGGAUGAUAUGAUAUGUAGGCUACCCGAGGGCAGAGACUGAGUCUGUCUUGUUCACUGUCUACCUCCAGAACCUCACACAGAAUCUGGCACUUAGUAGGUGCACAACAAAAUAAUCAUUGAAUUAGUAUACUGAGUCUUUAACAGAGUCUCUUUCUGUUUAUUGAGUUGACACGAUGUAUCCAAAAGCAGCUGAAUGCACAACUCAAACUGUCAUCCAAGCACACAAAGAAGGCAUUGAUGAAAAAGCUGAGACAGGUUACAACGGGAGUGCCAGAGAGAUGUCACUUAAAAUGAGAACUUCUCAGGGUUUGAGAAAGGUGAGUCCCAAGCCCUCGUGAAGCAUUGGAGAAAGUGCCGCCCCGAGGUUCAGGUCCACACAGCGCUGUGAGGCUGAAGGGGCGCGCUAGAAGUUCCUUUCACAGGACGCCACCUCACCUGAAACCCUCCUUUUCUGCUGACACCCGAGGGACAAGAUCUUCUGAGUUUUUCCAUUACUUACUCUGGAGGAAAACCCUCAGGCAGUUAGUUACUGAGGGACUCUGGUCUGGACUGGGAAGUGUUUUUCUCAGUGACACCUCUAGAAGGCAGCACUUAGCGGAGUCCCACAGACACCUCCCAGCAUUUCCUGCUCAAACACUGGGAGGAUGGCCUGGUAACACUGGGGAAUGCCUGGGUGUUCUAGAAGCCCCCACCCCUGAUUUUAACCACGUGUUUUCUUAUCUGAGUCCUUGUAGACAUGUAUGUAGUCUGCCUUAGGGCAGGAAUUGUGUCUACCUUGUUCACUGCCAAUCCUCAGGACAGAACCUGGCACUUAAUAGGUGCACAACAAAAUAACCACUGGCUGAAUAUACUCAGUAUUUAACAGGCAGUUUGUCACAAUCCACUCCCUCCCUGACCUCAUUGUGGUUUAUAGUUUAUGUUUAAUGACAUUUAGUUUCCAUGUACUUAGCAUUUUAUUGUAUAAAUUUCUCAUAUAUAUAAAAAAUACACAUAAAAUACAAUGGUCCUCUUUGUUUCAAUCAUCUAGCUGCAGUAAUCACCAACCCAAGCCUGUCUUUCAUUUGUAUGCCCAGCUUCUCUCCUCCUCUGUCAUAAUAUGAAACAAAUCUGAGGUAUCAUAUUAUCUCAUCCUAAAUACUUCAGUGUGUAUCUCUGAAACAUAACAGAAACAUCAUACCUAACAUCACAAAAUGACACUAAAAAAUUUAACAGUAAUUCUUUAAUAUUAUCUAACAUUCAAUCAAUAUUCAGGUUUCUAAUUUUUAUGUGUCAUAAGU